UUUUCUUUCCUUGGUAAUACUCUUUUCUUCUUUCCUAAAAACUUAGAGAAACACGACUGAAAUCACGAUGCUGGUAAUCUCUGUGGAGGUAUGGCCGCAUCGAGUUGCUAAUGGUGUUCAUGUUGGUUUGAUUGUAAAUGGGGAAGAUGAGUAUGUAUUCUUCAACUUGAGAAUUUGAAUAGAGGUAAGUGGUUCUCCCUCAUUUGAUACAAAUGAUUCUUAUCAAUUUGUGAGUUUGUGUAUCACACUGGAAAUGCAUGUCUGAUUCGUCACGUUCUUGUAAAUUCAUUUUCGAAUUGAAAUGCAGUAAAACUAGGGUUCAUAUAAACAUGGGGAUUUUCCCUAAUCUUAUUUAACCAGAUUAUAAAGCAUGGGUCAUUGGUCAUUCACUUUAAUAUUUCGAAAUGAUGGGGAUCUUUCAUUUCUAUUGUGAAUGAGUUUUUAAUCAUGUUUGUUACUGCCGUAGAAAUCUCUGUAUAACUCGUUUGUUAUAUUGCCCAAUUUCUCUACCAAUAUUUGUAGAAAUCCCGCAAUCGCAUGUUGUGCAACAUUUCAUUUAUACCUCGUUUUAGACUUUAUGGCUUGCGGUACUAAUGAUUUUCUACAUCAUACCAAAGCAGUGCUAACUGUAGCUUUGAUUUAGUUGCUGGCUAUGUUGGGUUCUAACACAAACUUUAGUAAAUGAGUACAUACGAGUCGGAAUUCCUUCUUCAUGUAAUUGACGGACCGGUAGUAGAAGAGUUUUCGAGAUGGAAAAGGAAAAGGAAGUGCGACUGUUAGGUUCAUAUCCAAUUCCAGUGUGCGGGUUGAAGGGAAGCUAUAAAAGGGGAAAAAUACAACACUAAAAGCGCUGUCUCUCUGCUGACAGCAAGACUCCCAUGACCUGUUUGGUGAAAGUCCCAGAAGUUAUAUCUUGAAGGUUAGACAAUUUUGUACUCAUUUGGCCGGUACCAUACGUUUGCUUUCUAAGCAUGUAUGGUCUAUUAUUAAUAUAUCUUCUCACUCUAAUAAUGGUAUUGGUGUGUAUACUCUUUCUCACUUAAUUAAAUGGUAAAUGGACUUAGAACUACGCGUGAUUGAAACCUUGUAAUGUUUUAUCUGUUUCAUGUGUAGUUAUCAUUUGGUUAAUUUUAACUUCAUGUUUUACUACUUAUCACUUUGAGUGGAUUAUUAAGGAAGCCUUGAUAAAACAAAUUGAACCCAUGAUUUUAAGCUGAUUCUUGCAAUGGAUGUCGGAGUAGCUAAGUGCUUAACUUUUGUUGAUCAGAUUAAUUAUUGCUAGUGUGUGGGUAAUGCUUCUUUUGAAUCUGAUAGUAAACAGUAAAAAUAUCUCAUAAGGAUCAGUAGAAUUAGCAUAUUAAGGAGGAGUAAGCGGUGUCAAUAGGUGUCGACGACGUGACCCUGACUUUAGAUUUCUGUGGUCUGAGAAUCUCAUAUUACAUUGUGGUUUCUGCUUGGAUAAUAACUUGAAUAUUAAGUGUUGUAUUGAAUAUUGUUAUUAAAUCGAAAUUCGGAAAUUGUAAUGGAGUUGCCAGAAAUUGAGCUGUGAUUGAUACACUAGAGAAAUCAAGGUAAGGCGUUCAUAUAUUCUUCUGUAAUUUUGAUGUUGUGUCCAUUUUAUAUUGGCCUCUUGGUGCUCCAUAUUUGGUGUCCGUACCACUUAGUGUAGUCAUUUGUGUUCACUGUGUAUUGGUGCUUCAACUUAUGCAACUUGAGUUCAUUGGAUAAUUUCUUGUGCGUAAUACUUGCACCUUCUUAGGUUUACUGUUUGUGUUUGGUAUCUUAAAUGGUACACCGUUGACCAGUUCCCAUCACUAGGCUGAACAUUUGAUUAUAUGUCACUAUAUCCAUUUAAGUUUUAAACGGGAUCUACAUUUAGAGCUGUACAGGAUAUACAUAACUUAGGAGUCUGAUUUUAAUUUAUUUGAUGUGCAUAAAUUCUAUAUUUAGGGUAACCUGGAUUCAACUGAAUUUGUCAAUAGGCAUGUAAGGAAAAUGAGAAAUAUAAGAAAUUGCUCCUUUCGGAUUGUCGUUUUGUUCACUAAAUUUACUUGAUAUGAUACUGGUUGAGGCUGAUCUGUAAGAUGUUAUUUCUUUCAUUAUAAUGACUAAACUCCAAUCUUGUUAAGAAUGAUAUGGAUGGUGAUUUGACAAGUAGGGAUAGUUGUUGCUAUGCAAUUCAGACUAUCCAUUGAAAGGAAUAGUUUCUACUGCUGAAGGUAGUUCAUACUAUCUAAACAAAGAAUGACGAAAUACGGUCGUGCUUGAUCCUUUCGAGAAACGGAGAGGGUACGUAGGCAGCCGCUAUGCGGUUCAGCACAUCUGCAAGGUUGUUCAUAUUGCCUAGAAAGGGUUGGUUGCUGCUUGGCAGUUCAUACCAUCCAUUUGGAGAUGAUUGCAACUUAUGCAAUAUAUACAUUUGUUGGUAAGAGGUAGUUCCAGUACUGGCUGUUCAUACUACCUAGUGAAGAGAUGAUAGUUGUCUCUCUGAGAUAAUUCAUACCAUCUGAUAAGACAAGAGAUGAUUAUUACUGGUCGAGGUAAUUCAUAUCAUCUGUCUAGGCUUGAAAGCUAAGCAAUGGUUAUUAUAUAAGAGGAUGGUUGCUGCAUAUGAUGGCAGUUCAUACCAUCGAUCUAAAGAUGAUUAUUAACUCUUUGAACAGUUCAUAUCAUCUGAGAAAGAUUGUUGGUUUAGCUUGAACAAGUACACCAGGCCCACUGGGCCCCCCCACCUACGGGUGGCUACUCGGAAGACUGUUAGCUGUAACGGUGGCUGGUAUCCAACUACUCUGGCAAGAGACCUUGUGUCUUCACAGUAAAAACGAUUGAAAUACUUUGUUGGAUCCGAUGACCCUUGAAGUAUAAAAGCUACGUGUGCUUGCUUAUAAAGCAGUUUGAAGUAAAUUGAUGAACAUUUGCAUGGUAAAAUUGAAUGGGUCCGAAAAAUUUGAAAGUCCGGUUUUCUCGAGAGAGUCGGAGCUUGCCAAGCGGGUUGUAACCCGUCCCGUUGGAAGCAAAAAUUUUCUGGUCCGUCACAAUAGAUCUAUGUUUUGUUUAUUAAUCAAUGGUGAGAUUUUCGUUUUCAGCCUUGGGUUGAUAUCUGUGCCAGAAAAGAUACAGAAGAGUUUUUGCAAGGAAAUCCAACUCAUCAACUUGUUGUUGAGUAACAGCAACUAAUUGUUCCGAGGUUCAGCCGCAAAUUGUUGCUGUUAACGGUGAACAACAGCAGCAACACUCGUUGAUUAUCUUGAGGUAUGAUUCAACUAUCUAAAUUGUACCAUUUUGAUUUCAGUCAAAAGUUCUAUGUUAGUUAUCUUCUGGUACCUGUUCUUGGUCUAGGUUCUUGAGUCCUCUAUCUAUGGUUUGGUUGGUGGUUAAUGGUGUUACUGGUUUAUGUUUGGGAUCUCUACUUGUUCAGAUCUGAUGAUCUUGUUUGAUAACGAUGGAAAGAAUAGCAACAAAGAUUAGAAGAGAUAUCUUUUCUUGGUUCUGGUGUUUUCUCGUUCAGUGCUGUGUGUAUCUUGUUCUAGUUUUUUCUCUUGCCGCUUCCUUGAUUUUGCAGUAUCAAGCUUCAUUGUUAUUACCCGUACAGGUUGCAAUUUCAAUGUUCAAACUACCAUCCCAGAUAACUAAAAUGAACUAUGAUCAAUUCUAGAUUGUUCAAAGAAUGAGGGCAUCAUUCCUGGUGCAAUUCUAGAAAUGGUGCAUACAUGCCUAAGGUUCCUUGUUCAAAUGGAGGGAGGGGGCCAUUCAGUUGGACUGCAAAUUGAAUGUCUCAGUGUUUAGCAUAAGAUUAUCCACCUUUAAAAUGAAAGAAGACGGAUUGCAAAUUCUAGAUUUUCAUGUAUAACUGAUCCAGCUUAUCAAUUUGACAUGAGUGAUUCCUGGUUUAGUGUUAUCUCUGUUAGUUUGUUAAGCCUUCAUUUGUUUGUUUGUUAAUUUAUCAGUUACCAGAUUGCAUCGUGUAUGCAUAUCAACAUUGCAUUUUUGCAUUUCAAUUUGGUUUUAAAACCAUUUGGCAGAAACAUUGAUCUAUUGAUUGCAUUCCAAAUUUAUGUCUGUGAUUUUGUUCUCUUCAUUCUAACUUAAAGAAAUAAGUAAUCCUAUUAAAACUGUGCUGGUACUAAUUGGGGGCGAAAACACUCCUAGCUGAGUGUCUUGGCUCAAACGAUACACAGCAUUAGGGACAUCCUCUAGAGCAGGGUUCUCUACUAGAAUGCCAAGGAGUAUUUUUGGAAGGCAGCCAAAGAUAUGUGAUAGCCAAAGCACUGUACAACAUUACAUGAAAAGCGUUGGUGUGAUAUGAUACUGAGACAAAAAGAAGGAAAAUGCAAGAGUAUGGCAAAAUCUUAUGCAUUCCGUUUUCUUAAUUAGGAGAAGUCUGAAAAUGUUUUCACUUAGUGGAUAAGGGGUUUUCAGUUGAUGAAGUUUGAGCAGCCAUCGACUGAUAUGAGAUUGAUAGGAUGAAAGAGAGGUUUUCUGAAUUGCUACUUGGUGACCUCUUCUUACAUCAGGACUAGCCUCGGAUUUCCUUGCUUCCCUGCUUAUCAUGAAAAGGUUGUUUCGUGUGAGAAAUCCGUAGGAAAACUUUGUUAUACAGUAAAAGCAGGAGAAUCCCUCAGUCUCAAAUAUCAUUAUGAGUUUUCCUCUCAAAACAGAAGUUAGCAUAAUUCACAGUCUAGAACUCCUCGACUCAUUGUCUUGCUGUAAUCUGAUUGGGGUGGUCGAUCAGUUGCUUUUAUUCUGAUUACAGUUUUAUUGCAGAAUUUUUUAAAAUUUAUGUUCCAGCUGUUUUACAAUCUUUAGCCAAACUAUACAUAUGGUCCUCUCUCAUUUUGCACAAGACACAAACCAUAUACUUGAGUGGGGAUUAUCGAGUAAAUUGGAAUCACAUUUGGUUUGACUGGUAACAGUUCAUUUUCAUUUAUAUUAUUGACCUUGAUCUUCCAGUAAAUUACCACAAUGCCUCAGAUUGAUGAAAUGUGCUUUUAAGAUUCUACCCAUGAAAGGAAAACAACUUCAUUUCCUUCUUCUCAGCUUGGCCAGUAGCAUUAAACACACAGCUAGAGUUUGCGAAGAUGAACCUCCCAGAUGAUGUCAUGUUGGAUAUCUGUGUUAGGUUGCCCGUGAAGUCAGUUGGGCGAUUCAGGUGUGUAAACAAGUCUUGGUACAAGUUACUGAAUGGUCGUAGGUUUGUUCAACAGCACCUACAUCAUGCUGCUGAAAUGGACAAAUUAAGUUUUACGAUAAAUUUUACGAAAGAUUGGCGGCAUCAAAUUUACACCAUAUGUUAUGAUCCCUCAUUAUCUGCAUGUACUGGUUCUGUUAAUACCAAUCUCCCGUAUGCAGUGAGCACCGAUCAUAGUGAUCUAAAUUUUCAUGGAUAUUGUAAUGGUUUGGUUUGCGCAAGUCCUUCCAACAUGAAUAUCCUUUGCCUAUGGAACCCAUCCACAAAUGAAUAUAAGCAAUUGCCGGAAACUCCACGAGAUACGCCAAUUACUAGUACAUCUUACGGAAACAUCCACAAAGCUAUACAGUGUGGGUUUGGUUAUGAUUAUAUAUACAAAAAUUGGGGAGUUCAAAGUGGUAUGUCUUACCAAAUACGGCAAUAAUUGUUGCAGAUCUGAUGAAACCCAGGUGUCUGGGGUUCACCUCUAUACAUUAGGAUCGGACACUUGGAUAACACUUGAGAGCAUUCCUUAUGUUGUUUAUGGCCAGUCUGAUGUAGCUCAGGAGCCCGUUGAUGGAGUUAUUCAUUGGGAAGCAUAUCGCACAUUUGAGGGAUCUAAAGUCUGCAAUAGAGUUAUUCUUUCUUUUGAUUUUGAGAAAGAGAUGUUUCAAGAGAUGCCAUGGCCAGACUUGUUAAGUGAAGUGUUCAGAACACAUCUGUGUGUGUUGGGAGGGUCUCUUUGUAUAUGUGGUUUUAAUCGUAGCAUUGGUGUUGAGGUAUGGGAGUUGAAGGACUGUGAAGGGAGAAGGUCUUGGAAUAAGCUUUUUACCGUUGAUAUGAUAAAACAUUUUGGGUUGGUUACAACUGUUGUGCCCUUACAAUCUCUAAAGAACCGAUAUUGGUUUUCAUGUCCAUCAAUAUGACCCAAAACAUGAAACAAGUAGAUCUCUAUUUGUCUUUGAGGAUUCAAUUGUAUACUCUUCAAGAAUUGCAGUCUAUGUUGAGAGUUUAGUUUCACUGAACUCAGGUAGUUGUCUGGGUGAUGACGUUGAUGCUCAGUGUGGCGAAAGCCAUCAGGUCGAAGAUGACAAGAGGGCUUGAGAAUCUGACGCACUUCGUUUCUUUGGUACUAUUGUUAGCAGAAGAUUCAGCUCUGUCAGAGCCUACAUCAAGGAUUGGAAGCUAAUUUGACGUGCAAGGUGUUUUCUCUGGCUGGCACAAAUCCAUGAGUUAGAAAAGCUAAUGCAGGAUUUUCCUAGAUGCACUUUUAAUUCUAUCACUUUUAAUUCUAUCUAUUGUAAGUGCAGUUAUCUCUGAUAGAAAACAUUAAAGAGUAUAAAUAAAAAAUAACAAAAUAAAUUU